rnacentral:rRNA from 1 species
GACGUAGGGCGCGAGCGUUGUCCGGAUUUAUUGGGCGUAAAGAGCUCGUAGGCGGUUUGUCGCGUCUGCUGUGAAAGACCGGGGCUCAACUCCGGUUCUGCAGUGGGUACGGGCAGACUAGAGUGCAGUAGGGGAGACUGGAAUUCCUGGUGUAGCGGUGAAAUGUGCAGAUAUCAGGAGGAACACCGAUGGCGAAGGCAGGUCUCUGGGCUGUAACUGACGCUGAGGAGCGAAAGCAUGGGGAGCGAACAGG